GAUGAACGCUGGCGGCGUGCCUAAUACAUGCAAGUCGAGCGAACAGACGAGGAGCUUGCUCCUCUGACGUUAGCGGCGGACGGGUGAGUAACACGUGGAUAACCUACCUAUAAGACUGGGAUAACUUCGGGAAACCGGAGCUAAUACCGGAUAAUAUAUUGAACCGCAUGGUUCAAUAGUGAAAGACGGUUUUGCUGUCACUUAUAGAUGGAUCCGCGCCGCAUUAGCUAGUUGGUAAGGUAAAGGCUUACCAAGGCAACGAUGCGUAGCCGACCUGAGAGGGUGGUCGGCCACACUGGAACUGAGACACGGUCCAGACUCCUACGGGAGGCAGCAGUAGGGAAUCUUCCGCAAUGGGCGAAAGCCUGACGGAGCAACGCCGCGUGAGUGAUGAAGGUCUUCGGAUCGUAAAACUCUGUUAUUAGGGAAGAACAAAUGUGUAAGUAACUAUGCACGUCUUGACGGUACCUAAUCAGAAAGCCACGGCUAACUACGUG
rnacentral:rRNA from 1 species